UUUUAGACAAUUUGAAGGAAUUAUAUCUGAAUCAAUCUAAGAACAUGAUUAAAACACCAAAUUUGAGUGGAGCCCCAAAUAUAGAGAUAAUAGACUUUAGAAAUUGUAGAAUCUUCUGUGAGGUCCACCCAUCCAUCAAAGAGCUCAAACGACUAGAAGAAUUAAGAAUGUCUGGCACCGGAAUCAAACAACUAUGGAAAGAGACGUUGGUGGUAGGUUUUUCACUCGUAUAAAUACGUAUUGAUCUUCUUAAUAAUCCUCAUUCAUAUCAUUUCCAAGUAAGUUAAUAUAUUCAUAUAUUUAUCUAAUUUAUAACUACUUGUUUGCUAAUCACAAGUUUUAGACAAUUUGAAGCUCAUAGAUCUGAGUUAUUCUAAGAACUUGAUUGAAACACCAAAGUCAAGUGGAGCCCCAAAUCUUGAGAUAAUAGACCUUAUAGGUUGUAAAAGCUUUUGUGAGGUCCACCCAUCUGUCAAAGUGCUCAAACAACUACAAAAAAUAAUAACGGUUUGCACCGGAAUCAAACAACUAUGGAAGGGGACUUUGGUGGUAAGUUUUACACUCAAACAACUAUGGAAGGGGUCGUCGGUAAGUUUUUCACCUGUAUAAAUUCAUAUAGAUCUUCUUAAUAAUCUCCCUUCAUAUAUUUUCCAAAUAAGUUAAAAUAUUCAUACUUUGAUCUAAUUUGUAAUUACUUGUUUGUUUAUAACAGGUUUUACACAAUUUGAAGGGAUUAUAUCUGAGUUAUUCUAUGAACUUAAUUGAAACACCAAAUUUGAGUGGAGCCACAAAUCUUGAGAUAAUAGACCUUACAGAUUGAACGAGCUUGUGUGAGGUCCACCCAUCCAUCAUAGUGCUCAAACAACUAUAAGAAUUAAGAAUGUCUGGCACCAAAAUCAAACAACUAUCGAAGGGGACGUUGGCGGUUUUACACAAUUUGAAGAUCUUAGAUUUGAAUCAUUCUAAGAACUUGAUUGAAACACCAGAGUCGAGUGGAGCCCCAAAUCUUGAGAUAAUAGACCUUACAGGUUGUACAAGCUUGUGUAAGGUCCACCCAUCCAUCAAAGUGCCCAAACAACAACAAAAAGUAAUAAUGGUUGGCACCGGAAUCAAACCACUAUGGAAGGGAACGUUGGUGGUUCUAGACAAUUUGAACGAAUUAUAUCUGAAUCAAUCUAAGAACUUGAUUGAAACACCAGAUUUGAGUCGAGCCCCAAAUCUUGAGAAAAUAGACUUUUCAUGGUGUACAAAUUUGUGUGAGGUCCACCCAUCCAUCAAAGAGCUCAAAUGACUACACAAAUUAAGAAUGUUAUGGCACCGGAUUGGCACCUGAAUCAAACAACUAUGGAAGGGGUUGGUGGUUUUAAACAAUUUGAAGCUCUUAGAUCUGAGUUAUUUUAAAAACAUGACUGAAACAUCAGAUUUGAGUGGAGGCUCAAAUCUUGAGGAAAUAGACUUUACAAGUUGUACAAGCUUGUGUGACGUCCACCCAUCCAUCAAAGUGCUCAAACAACUAGAAGAAUUAAGAAUGUCUCGCACCGGAAUAAAACAACUAUGGAAGGGGAAGUUGGUGGUUUUAGACAAUUUGAAGGAAUUAGAUCUAAGUAAUUCUGAGAACUUGAUUGAAACGACAUAUUUGAGUAAAGCCCUAAAUUUUGAGAUAAUAGGCUUUAAAAAUUGUAGAAGCUUGUGUGAGGUCCACCCAUCCAUCAAAGAGCUCAAACGAAUACAAGAAUUAAUCAUGUUUGGCACCAUAAUCAAACAACUAAGGAAGGGGUUGGUGGUUUUAGACAAUUUGAAGCUUUCAGAUAUGCGUUAUUCUAAGAACUUGAUUGAAACACUAGAUUUGACAGGGUCCCCAAAUCUUGAGGAAAUAGACUUUAUAGGCUGUACACGCUUGUGUGAGGUCCUCUUAUCAAUCAAAGUGCUCAAAUGACUAGAAGAAUUAAGAAUGUCUAGCACUGGAAUCUAACAACUAUGGAAGGGGUUGUUGGUGGUUUUAGAUAAUUUGAAGCUCUCAGUUCUGCUUUAUUCUAAGAACUUGAUUGAAACACUAGAUUUGACAGGGGCCCCAAAUCUUGAGGAAAAAGACUUUACAGGUUGUACAAGCUUGUGUGAGGUCCACCCAUCAAUCAAAGUGCUCAAACAACUAGAAGAAUUAAGAAUGUCUGGCAAUGGAAUCAAACAACUUUGGAAUGGGGCGUUGGUGGUUUUAGACAAUUUGAAGCUCUUAGAUCUGUGUUAAUCUAAGAACUUGAUUAAAGUAACAGAUUUGACAGGAGCCCCAAAUCUUGAGAUAAUAGACCUUACAGAUUGUACAUGCUUGUGUGAGGUCCACCCAUCCAUCAAAGAGCUCAAACGACUAGAAGAAUUAAGAAUGUCUGGUACCGAAAUCAAACAACUAUGGAAGGGGACGUUGGUGGUUUUACACAAUUUGAAGAUCUUAGAUCUAAAUCAUUCUAAGAACUUGAUUGAAACACCAGAUUUGUAUGGAUCCCCAAAUCUUGAGAUAAUAGACUUUUCAUGGUGUACAAACUUGUGUGAGGUCCACCCAUCCAUCAAAGAGCUCAAACGACUACAAGAAUUACGAAUGUUUGGCUCCGGAUUGGCACUCGAAUAUCAAACAACUUUGGAAGGGGACGUUGGUGGUUUUACACAAGUUGAAGAAAUUUGAUUUGAGUUUUUGUGAGAACUUGAUUGAGACACCAGAUUUGAGUGGAGCCCCAAAUUUUGAGGAAAUAGACUUUUCAAAUUUUGCAAAUUUGUGUAAGUUGUCAGACUGAGUAGGUUGGAAUGCCUGAUAGUUUUUGGGCAGAUGAAACUACUAUAACACAAAUACCACCUGUCAAUCUACUACCCAAGAGCUUCUGUACGUUUAAUCUUGAAGGAUGCAAGUUGAUGAGAGAUCCCACCUAUGAUAUCAGAUCACUUGUAGAUUAUCAGAUGGAAGGAAAAUAUUCGGUACAAGUAGUGUGCAUUGAUUUUGACAGUAAAGGAGAAAAAAAUUUAGACAUAGCAUGUGGAUAUGUUGGGAAAUUAUACAGCAAUGAGAUGUAUAUAAGUGGGUGGAGGGGGAGUUGUCUAUGAUUGCAAUGGCCAGUUUUUAGUCGCAUUCUCAAAACAGUUCGGUCACAGCACUAACAAUGAAGCCAAGCUAAGGGCAUUGAUGAAAGGGGUGAAGCUGUGCAUGGAUUUGGGUUUUACACCUGUUGAGAUUGAAUGUGAUUCAAAAAUUGUGGUUGAGUUGGUACAAGCCAAACGUUGUACACUUUGGUAUUUGUGGGAUUUAUGAGAGGAGUUUAUCGUUGUAGCUAAUGACAUUUCCUUUUCUAUCUCUCACCAAUUUAGAGAAGGGAAUAUGGUCGCUGAUUUUUUGGCUUGGAGUGGAGAUGGAGGGUGCAGUAGGAGGUAUGUGGAAUAUGACUUGCUUCCUAAGGAGCUAAAGAGAAUCUUGCAUUUGGAGAGGUUGGGUUUGCCAUAUAUUCGUAAAUAGGCUGUGAGGGUCAUUUUUUGGUUUCUUUGGUUUUCUAUGAUUGUUUAGUGGUGAGGUGCUUUAGGAAUUGGGUUGUGCUAUUUUUUCAUUUGUUUACACAGUUUUCCUCCGCCAAAAGUGAGGGCUUUAUUAAUAAAUUCGGGAGGGGGUCACUAUUGAACAGGUAAGUCUCACUCUUUAAAAAAAAAAGUAUAUAAGUGGGUGGUCGUUGGGAUUCAAUAUCCUGGAGUGGGUCCAGUAUAAAAGUAAUGUUCCAGAUUUGGAUGGUAUUGCGAAUUCGGAGAUGGGGUGUGACAUCCCGUUUUUACGUGUAUUUUCACCGAAUGAGUAUUUUAAUUUAAUUAAAAUAUUAGUUCUUUUAUGUUAAAUUAUUGUAUUUUAAUUGGAUUUAUUU